rnacentral:rRNA from 1 species
CCAGACUCCUACGGGAGGCAGCAGUGAGGAAUAUUGGUCAAUGGCCGAGAGGCUGAACCAGCCAAGUCGCGUGAGGGACGACGGCCCUACGGGUUGUAAACCUCUUUUGCCGGGGGACAAACGGCGGCACGCGUGCCGUCCUGAGGGUACCCGGAGAAAAAGCAUCGGCUAACUCCGUGCCAGCAGCCGCGGUAAUACGGAGGAUGCGAGCGUUAUCCGGAUUUAUUGGGUUUAAAGGGUGCGUAGGCGGAAUAUCAAGUCAGCGGUAAAAAUUCGGGGCUCAACCCCGUCGUGCCGUUGAAACUGAUGUUCUUGAGUGGGCGAGAAGUAUGCGGAAUGCGUGGUGUAGCGGUGAAAUGCAUAGAUAUCACGCAGAACUCCGAUUGCGAAGGCAGCAUACCGGCGCCCAACUGACGCUGAAGCACGAAAGCGUGGGUAUCGAACAGGAUUAGAUACCCCCGUA